rnacentral:rRNA from 1 species
ACCGGCGCACGGGUGAGUAACGCGUAUGCAACCUACCUUUAACUGGGGCAUAGCUCCGAGAAAUCGGGAUUAAUACCCCAUAAUAUUACAAUUUCGCAUGUUAUUGUAAUUAAAACUCCGGUGGUUAAAGAUGGGCAUGCGUGUCAUUAGUUAGUUGGUGAGGUAACGGCUCACCAAGACGACGAUGACUAGGGGGUCUGAGAGGAUGAUCCCCCACACUGGUACUGAGACACGGACCAGACUCCUCGGGAGGCAGCAGUGAGGAAUAUUGGUCAAUGGGCGAAAGCCUGAACCAGCCAUGCCGCGUGCAGGAUGACAGCCCUAUGGGUCGUAAACUGCUUUUAUACGGGAAGAAACCCCUGAUCGUGAUCAGGGUUGACGGUACCGUAAGAAUAAGGAUCGGCUAACUCCGUGCCAGCAGCCGCGGUAAUACGGAGGAUCCUAGCGUUAUCCGGAUUUAUUGGGUUUAAAGGGUGCGUAGGCGGAAUAAUUAGUCAGUGGUGAAAUCCUGCAGCUUAACUGUAGAAUUGCCAUUGAUACUGUUAUUCUUGAAUACAGUUGAGGUAGGCGGAAUGUGUAAUGUAGCGGUUAAAUGCUUAGAUAUUACACAGAACACCGAUUGCGUAGGCAGCUUGCUAAACUGUGAUUGACGCUGAGGCACGAAAGCGUGGGGAGCAAACAGGAUUAGAUACCCU